UUGAACGCUGGCGGCAGGCUUAACCCAUGCAAGUCGAGCGGUAGCACAGGGGAGCUUGCUCCCUGGGUGACGAGCGGCGGACGGGUGAGUAAUGUCUGGGAAACUGCCUGAUGGAGGGGGAUAACUACUGGAAACGGUAGCUAAUACCGCAUAACGUCGCAAGACCAAAGAGGGGGACCUUCGGGCCUCUUGCCAUCAGAUGUGCCCAGAUGGGAUUAGCUAGUAGGUGGGGUAAUGGCUCACCUAGGCGACGAUCCCUAGCUGGUCUGAGAGGAUGACCAGCCACACUGGAACUGAGACACGGUCCAGACUCCUACGGGAGGCAGCAGUGGGGAAUAUUGCACAAUGGGCGCAAGCCUGAUGCAGCCAUGCCGCGUGUGUGAAGAAGGCCUUCGGGUUGUAAAGCACUUUCAGCGAGGAGGAAGGUGGUGAGCUUAAUACGCUCAUCAAUUGACGUUACUCGCAGAAGAAGCACCGGCUAACUCCGUG
rnacentral:rRNA from 1 species